rnacentral:rRNA from 1 species
GGUAAUACGUAGGGUGCGAGCGUUGUCCGGAAUUACUGGGCGUAAAGAGCUCGUAGGUGGUUUGUCGCGUUGUUCGUGAAAUCUCACAGCUUAACUGUGGGCGUGCGGGCGAUACGGGCAGAUUGAGUACUGCAGGGGAGACUGGAAUUCCUGGUGUAGCGGUGGAAUGCGCAGAUAUCAGGAGGAACACCGGUGGCGAAGGCGGGUCUCUGGGCAGUAACUGACGCUGAGGAGCGAAAGCGUGGGGAGCGAACAGGAUUAGAUACCCUGGUAGUCCACGCCGUAAACGGUGGGUAUAGGUGUGGGUUUCCUUCCUUGGGAUCCGUGCCGUAGCUAACGCAUAAGUACCCCGCCUGGGGAGUACGGCCGCAAGGUAAAACUCAAAGAAAUUGACGGGGGCCCGCACAAGCGGCGGAGCAUGUGGAUAAUUCGAUGCAACGCGAAGAACCUUACCUGGGUUUGACAUGCACAGGACGCCGGCAGAGAUGUCGGUUCCCUUGUGGCCUGUGUGCAGGUGGUGCAU